rnacentral:lncRNA from 1 species
AGCUUCUCUGGCCCUGCAAGGCGACCCCUAAGCGCAAUGUCCGGGACCCGCGGUCAGAGGGCCGGAGUGAGGGUGGCAGCGCUCAGGGAAGGAGGCGGAGGCAGAGGCCUCUUUCUUCCCCCGAGGUGGAGAGGGCCCCGGGUCGGAGGAGCGAGGGCCGCACCGCUGGAGCCCACUCCCGCCUCCUUCCCCACGGGCCGGCGCACUUGGGAGCUGGACAGGACGCUCUUCCUGGGCUCGGAGCAGGCGCGGGCCCGGGUUGAGCCGAGCCUGAGCAGGGGCAGGCUCUAGCUGGCGGCUGGCCAGAUGCCCUCCAGGUGAUGGUGGUGAAGCGCUUUCUAGGGAGAAGGAACAGCGUGUAAACAGUUCCUGAGACAGGAGGAAACCUUGUGCAUGUGACCACCUGAAAGAGGCCUGAAGAAGAAACCGGAGGAAUCUGCAGAGGCCAGAUCCUGAGUGCCUGGCGCAUCACAGACUGUGAUUUUUUUUUUUUUUUUUUGAGACAGUCUUGCUCUGUCACCCAGGCUGGAGUGCAGUUGUGCCAUCCAUGGCUUACUGCAGCAUCGACCUCCUAGGCUCAAGCAAUCCUUCCACCUCAGCCUCCCUAGCAGCUGGGACUACAGGUGUGUGCCACUAUGCCUGGCUAAUUUUUGUAUUUUUUGUAGAGCCAGGGUUUCCCUGUGUUGCCCAGGCUUAGACUGUGAUCUUAAUACUGUGCUGUCAGAAGCCAUUCAGAGUUCCAAGCUGGGGGGUGACUUUUAUUCAAUGACGUGAACAACAAAUACUUCUUGAGCACCUACUACAUGUAGAAUGCUGGGGAUUUUAUAGUAACCAGACUCUUGCAAUCUCUGUCAUUGGGAAGCUUAUACUCUUUUCUUUUCCUAAUCAAAGUUAUAUAUGCACAAAGUUUAAACAGAUAAGUUUUUAUAAAAACAGCAGGCUGGGCAUGAUUAUCACACCUAUAAUCCCAGCACUUUGGGAGGCCAAGGUGGGAGGAUUGCUUGAGCCCAGGAGUUCAAGACCAGCCUGGGCAACAUAGUGAGACCUCCAUCUCUACUAAGAAAACAAAAAGACAUCGCCCAUUCCACUGAAGCAGAGGCACCCAUUUUCAACUCCUUUAACUGACUAUAUUUUAUAUUUAUCUCCAUAUCUCGAAAUAAAUGUGCUUGUUUUGCUCUUUCUUGAUAUUUCAGUUAUAGGCACUAUCUCUUGUUUUUCUACCAUGGAAAAUAGUUUUAUUUUUUGGGUUUUUGUGAGACAGGGUCUCACUCUGUCACCCAGGCUGGAGUGCAGUGGUGCCAUCCAUGGCUCACUGCAGCCUCGACCUUCCUGGUUCAAGUGAUCCUCAGCUCAGCCUCUUGAGUAGCUGGGACAAUAGGUGCGCACCACCAUGCCAGGCUAAUAUUUUUUUCUGUUUUUUGUAGAGAUGGGGUCUCACUUUUGUUGCCCAGGCUGGAGGACGAUAGUUUUAACACUUCCCAUCACCAGCCAUACGGAUAAUCCCCAUCUCUCUAAACUGCCAUCAUAAUUUUGUUUUGUUCAAUUCUCAUUGUUUACAUUAUUCGACGGCGCUAUGAUUCCUUUCCUCUACAACUUUUUGUUUUCCUGCAGCUCUUAAUUGUCCUGUUUUACCACUUGCUUAGUGUAUUCCACUCCCUACCAGGUAUCUAAAUCUCCUCUCAAGAUGUUCAGACAGGCUGGGCGUGGUGGCUCACGCCUGUAAUCCCAGCACUCUGGGAGGCCGAGGCAGGUGGAUCAGAGGGUCAGGAGAUUGAGACCAUUCUGGUUAACACGGUGAAACCCCCUCUCUACUAAAAAAUAUAAAAAAUUAGCUGGGCGUGGUGGUGGGCGCCUGUAGUCCCAGCUACUCGGGAGGCUGAGGCAGGAGAAUGGCGUGAACCCUGGAGACGGAGCUUGCACUGAGCCGAGAUUGCGCCACUGCACUCCAGCCUGGGAGACAGAGCAAGACUCUGUCUCAAAAAAAAAAAAAAAAGAUAUUCAGACAAAUCAGAUACCUCAGGUUGGUCUCUCUGGAAGGUACACAGAAGAAGAGGUUUGUUAGGGAUCAACACCUAUGAAAGGAAGUGGGAGGAAGCAGGAUUGGGCAGAAGUCAAACUACAGUGCAGGCCUGGCAAAGCCUAGGCCAACCUGGCAAGGAGCUCUGGAGUGAGUUUUGCCCAUCAGAGUGUGCCAAGCCUGGCUGGAAUGGCCAGGCCUUUAUACCACUGCCUGGCUCAGUCACCUGAUGGGGGCCGCCCUGGGGAAGGAUGAGGAAGGAUGUGGAAGGAUGUGAUCUUGGGCGAGGAGGCUGUCUGCAUCUGAGGCCAGCCCUGGAGCUGACAGCUGGAGGCUGUCUGCUGUCCAAACUCCCUGCAGCUGGGCAGCAGGCCCUUCCUUGAACAGCGGGCGGGGUGGGGGGUGUUGGGAGGCUCAUCUCCAUGACUACCACAUCAAUCUUCUAUCACUUUCAUGUUCUUGAAGAAGUUUUCUUGGAGUCCUCUGUUCUGCUCCAGUCUGGAGUGUUUGCCCUUUAUACCUGGUGAGCAGGUAUCACUCUGGGCAGGGAAAGAUCCAGAUUGUUUAGGGUCUAAAACUUAUGCAGGCAUGGUGUGGUGGCUCAGAAUUUUGGGAGGCCAAAGUGAGAGAAUCUAGGCCAGGAGUUCAAGACCAGCCUGGGCAACGUAACAAGCCCCACUUUCUACCAUCAGUCAUUCAGUCCAAAAUUAUCUGGGUGUGGUGGAAGUUGAGGCAGGAGGAUUGCUUGAGCCCAGGAGAUCAAGGCUGCAUUGAGGCGUGUUUGCGCCACUGUAUUCCAGCCUGGGCAAAAGAGUGAGGCCUUGUCUCAAAAAAAAAAAAAAAAAAGCUUAUACAUUCUGAGUCCUUUUAUUUAUUUAGAGACAGUCUGGCUCUGUCAUCCAGGCUGGAGUGCAGUGGCGCCAUCUUGGCUCACUGCAACCUCCACCUCCAGGGUUCAAACGAUUCUUGUGCCUCAGCCUCCCGAGUAGUUGGGAUUACAGGCGUGUGCCACCACGCCUGGCUAAUUCUUUUAUAUUUUUAGUAGAGACAGGGUUUCACCAUGUUGGCCAGGCUGGUCUCUAACUCCAGGCCUCAGGUGAUCCACCUGCCUCAGCCUCCCAAAGUGCUGGGAUUACAGGCAUGAGCCACUGCUGGCCUUUUUUUUGUUUUUGUUUUUGUUUUUUUGAGACGGAGUCUCAGUCUGUCACCCAGGCUGGAGUACAGUGGCACGAUCUCUGCUCACUGCAGCCUCCGCCUCCAGGGUUCAAGCGAUUCUUCUGCCUCAGCCUCCCGAGUCUCAGUGGUGUGAUCUCUGCUCACUGCAGCCUCAAACUCCUGAGCUCAAGCAAUCCUCCCACCUCAGCCUCCUUAGUAGUAGCUGGGACCACAGGUGCUUACUACCAUGCCCAGCUAGUAUUUUGCAUUUUUAGUAAAGAUGGGGUUUCACCAUGUUGGCCAGGCUGGUCUUGAACUCUCUACUUCAGGUGAUCCGCCCACCUCGACCUCCCGAAGUGCUGGGAUUACAGGUGUGAGCCACCGUGCCCGGCCUAUUAUUUUUUAUUGAGACAGGGUCUUGCUCUGUCGCCCAGGCUGGAGUGCAGUGGCACCAUCUCUGCUCACUGAAACCUGGACCUCCUGGGCUCAAUUGAUGUGCUCUCCUCAGCCUUCUGAGUAGCUGAGAUAAAGAUGCAUACCAUAGUGCUGGGCUAAUUUUUGUGUUUUUUCUUUUUCUUUUUUUUUUUGAGACGGAGUUUCACUCUGUCACCCAGGCUGGAGUGUGGUGGCGUGAUCUCGGCUCACUGCAACCUCUGCCUCCUGGGUUCAAACGAUUCUCCUGCCUCAGCCUCCCGAGUAGCUGGGACUACAGACAGGCGCGCGCCACCACACCCGGCUAAUUUUUUGUAUUUUUAGUAGAGACGGGGUUUCACCGUGUUAGCCAGGAUGGUCUCAAUUUCCUGACCUUGUGAUCCGCCCGCCUCAGCUUCCCAAAGUGCUGGGAUUACAGGCGUGAGCCACUGUGCCCGGCAAUUUUUGUAUUUUUUGUAGAGACAAGGUUUCACCAUGUUGCUCAGGCUGGUUUCGAACUCCUGAGCUCAAGCAAUCCAUCUGCCCGCCUUGGCCUCCCAAAGUGCUGGGAUUACAGUCAUGAGCCACUGCGCCUGGCCUUUCAGUUUUUAAUUGAUUCCUCCCCUCUGUUGUCUCUUUCUUUCUCAGGCUAGAGUGCCAUGGGUCUAUCUCCUUGUUGCAGCCUCUGCCUCCAGGAGGAUCAAGCCAUCCUCCCACCUCAGCCUUCUGAGUAGCUGGGACUACAGGCUCGAGCCACCACUCCCGGCUAAUUUUUGUAUUUUUUUCUAGAGAUGGGGUUUCACCAUGUUGUCCAAGCUGCUCUUGGACUCCUGGGUUCAAGCCAUCCGCCAGCCUCAGCCUCCCAAAGUGCUGGGAUUACAGGUGUGAGCCACUACGCCCAGCCCUAGUCCCCUCUCUUUUCUAUGCUUUCUCUUUCUGUAAUUUCUUUAAUUCAAAUGUUGGGUGUCCUGGACCAGGCCCCUAAUUAUCUUUUUCCUUCCCCUUUUUUAUCCCUUUUUCUCUUUGUUCUACUAUCUGGAAGAUUUCUCCAAAUUUAUCUUCCAGCCCUUUCAUUGAAUUUUUAGAUCCCAAGGACUUUUUGUUGGUGGUGGUGGUUGACUGUUUCUUUUGUUUGUUUGUUUGUUUGUUUUUGAGACAGAGUCUUGCUCUGUCACCCAGGCUGGAGUGCAGUGGCGCGAUUUUGGCUCACUGCAACCUUCGCCUCCCCAGUUCAAGUGAUUCUCCUCUCAGUCUCCCGAGUAGCUGGGAUUACAGGUGUGCACCACCAUGCCCGGCUGAUUUUUG